UUUUCUCCAUCAUAACCUGGAAAGAACACUGACAGGAAGGAAAUCAACAAAGAUCAUUUAUUAUAAAACCAUAGAAAAUUUCCUUAAAAAAUUGAGCUUGCAGUCACUCGAAAGGGACAGAAUUAAGAACAGGUGCCCCCAUCCCUACCCUCAUCGGCAUCUUUUAUGGUGCUAACAGAACUGGAUGGAGCCUUAGCCUCCAGACCUCCAGGUCAACAUUCGCACAAGCCCUGCUUUCCCUGUCUUCUGGAUUAGGGGGCCGGAGUCGGCCCCGCCUUAACCCGAGCGCCUCCAGGCCCGCGUAGAAUUUAGCAGCUGUCUGGUCCGAGCUCUGGCUAAAAAGAAAGCGAAUGGUCAAAUGCAGGCUUUGUGAGGUCCAUCAGAAUCACCUGGAGGGCUUGUGAAAACCCAGAUUGCCUGGUAGCCCUCUCAGGGAUUCCGGUUCUCUGGGUCUGGGUGGGGGACAGAGUUUGCAUUUUUAACAAGUUCCCGGGGGACGCUGAUUCUGCUGGUCCUGCUGUCCUCGGAUAUCUAAGCGCUAGGGCUGAUUAGGGAGAUUUGGCGGGAGAUGUCCCCUCAAGAUGCUGCCCAGGGCUCUCACCUGGAGUCGCAGAUGCUUUAGGUUUUCACCUGCGGGUCUAGCCGCAGGCCAUUCGGUCUCCCUACUCAGGAGCCGGGACCCACACCGGGGGCUUUUAGACUGAGUGGCUGUUUUCAGAACUGUCCCAGGACCUCAGACUAAGGAACUGGAGGGAAGUCCACCUACCCAGACCGCUGGCCGAAGGAAGCAUUCCUGGCCAGGGCUCCUGAAACCCCUCACCUCGAUUUCGGCGGACCCGAAGCUGGAAACAUAUUGCCACGAUGAGGAACUUGGUCACAUACUGGUAAAGGGGCGAUCCGAUGAUGAAGACCAGGACUCCGCAUCCUGGGACUGCGCUGACCACGAGGGAGACCCUGAACCACCCGUAGAAGGCCGCCAGCAUCUCGCUGUCCUGGCCUGGGAAGCGAGGUUGGGGUCACGGAGGAAAAGGGGCCCUUGGGUGAGUCUGCCCAGACCGGCCCCUGGAUGGUCUAGGAUUCCAGGAAACCUCAGGGGCACUGGACCAAGGACCUAACCCCCACCCCCACCCCAGGGGUAACGGGGGCGCACGGGAUGAGAUGCAGCCUGCAGGACUUCAGAGGGCGCGAGCUCCGGGCUCACUCACCAAAUAACGCUUGUAACAUCCACAGCUCGACAUAAACGACUUCUAGGGUGUGAUCGGCGCCUCUAACCCCUCUCAGCCUUUGGGCUCUACGAAGCGCCAGGAGCCGGAGGGACGCGGGGAGGAACAUGGGGCAGGGCGGUCCGGAGCGACCGCGGCCUCUUAGGCUGCCCAGCCCCGCCCCUUCCGCGCUCUCGGACCCGCGUCCCGGGCCUCCAGUGCCCAGCAUCCCGCAUCUCGCAUGCAGCAUCCAUCCUCCGGCGCCGCUCCGUGUGGUCUGCCAGGCGAAGCAGAAGCUCAGGCGCAGGGAUGGUCGCUGGCUAAGGGCCCCUGAAAACAGCCCUAGGCCCUCCAGGCUCAAGUGUGCCACCCCAAGCGUGCCACGGGGUGGCGGGUGGGGAGUGGGGGCGAGCUCCCUGGGUGACAGGCAUAGGGAAUCUGGAAAUCAGGCCACGGGAUGAAGGGGAGCGACUGAAGAAUGGAACCCACGCCUGCUCGGAGGAGUCCACGAUCCUCAAAGCCGCCAGCCUUCUAGAAGGCUGUCCUCUCAGGCCCGGGUCUCCCUCCCGCGGCCACAGAAACCAUCUGCCCUUUGCGGGACACCUGAGGCCCGGGGCGGAGCCUAGGGUUCCAGCUGGCAGCGGUAACACCUGCACUCCUGGACCUGAAACAGUGUGUCCAGAGGGAAGGAAACCCGCAGGCUGUGAAGAUCGCGCUGGACAUCUUGGGUCUUCCUCCCAAACGUAUCCCUCUGAUCUAACCUAAUCACACAGCUUACAAGAGGGCCAUCUGACAGCACACCUGACCAGUGUUUCUCAAAACUGCCAAGGUCGUCAAAACACAUGAAAGUCUGGGGAAACGUCACAGUCAAGAGGAGCCUAAGGAGACAAUGACAAUUAAAGCACAAUGCGAGACUUGCAAGCCAAGUUUUAUUUGCAGCAAAAUAAAGACUAUAAGAGUUGACUCAUUGGAAAAGACUCUGAUGCUGGGAGAGAUUGGGGGCAGGAAGAAAAGGGGACGACAGAGGAUGAGAUGGCCGGAUGACAUCACCGACUCGAUGGACGUGGGUUUGAGUGAACUCCAGGAGAUUGUGAUGGACAGGGAGGCCUGGUCUGCUGCGAUUCAUGGGGUCGCAAAGAGUAGGACACGACUGAGCGACUGAACCGAACUGAACUCAACUGAAAAACUAUAACCCAGGAGCAGUUUCUCAGAGGUGUCUGAAGUGCUGUCUGUCCGGCUAUAGUCUUGACAUUUUACUCCAAAUAAAAGUUAACUUACAACUCUCACACCGUGCUUUUUUGUUCUUAAGUCGGCACUAUCAAACAAUUUUGAACAGUAAUGACUAACGUACUUUAAAAAGAGUUUGUGUAGCAUUUAGAAUCAGCACAGGUGCAUCGUAUUAGCAGUUUAUACGCACCCCUUUCCCCAUUCCUAUCAAGGAUGCUCAGCCCUCGGCUUUGCCACUGGAAGAAGUGGCUGUGGAAUGCUGUCUUAUUUACAUAUUUGAACCUUGAAUUCCAGAUUCAAAUCCCUAGUGGAAGAGUAGGGUGAUUUACUAAGGGGAGUUAGAUUCCCCCUCCCUGGCUCUCCUCAAAAAAGGUGCCACCAACGCUUUCCUGUCUGGUGGACAGGGAGACCUAUCUUAAUGUUUGUUAUCUCCCAGGAAGCAGUUAUUUAUGUGUCUCCAGGCCCACCUUUAGCUUCCCAGCCUGGCCC
ensembl:lncRNA